rnacentral:rRNA from 1 species
UACGUAGGGUGCGAGCGUUGUCCGGAAUUAUUGGGCGUAAAGAGCUUGUAGGCGGUUUGUCGCGUCUGCCGUGAAAAUUCGAGGCUCAACCUCGAACUUGCGGUGGGUACGGGCAGACUAGAGUGUGGUAGGGGAGACUGGAAUUCCUGGUGUAGCGGUGAAAUGCGCAGAUAUCAGGAGGAACACCGGUGCGAAGGCGGGUCUCUGGGCCUAACUGACGUCUGAGGAGCGAAAGCCAGGGGAGCAAAAGGG